UGGGGAAUAUUGCACAAUGGAGGGAACUCUGAUGCAGCGACGCCGCGUGAACGAAGAAGGCUUUCGAGUCGUAAAGUUCUUUUAUAUGGGAAGAUAAUGACGGUACCAUAAGAAGAAGCCCCGGCUAACUACGUGCCAGCAGCCGCUGUAAUACGUAGGGGGCUAGCGUUGUCCGGAAUCACUGGGCGUAAAGGGUUCGCAGGCGGAAAUGCAAGUCAGGUGUAAAAGGCAGUAGCUUAACUACUGUAAGCAUUUGAAACUGCAUAUCUUGAGAAGAGUAGAGGUAAGUGGAAUUUUUAGUGUAGCGGUGAAAUGCGUAGAUAUUAAAAAGAAUACCGGUGGCGAAGGCGACUUACUGGGCUCAUUCUGACGCUGAGGAACGAAAGCGUGGGUAGCAAACAGG
rnacentral:rRNA from 1 species